UACGUAGGGCGCAAGCGUUAUCCGGAAUUAUUGGGCGUAAAGAGCUCGUAGGCGGUUUGUCGCGUCUGCCGUGAAAGUCCGGGGCUCAACUCCGGAUCUGCGGUGGGUACGGGCAGACUAGAGUGUGGUAGGGGGAGACUGGAAUUCCUGGUGUAGCGGUGAAAUGCGCAGAUAUCAGGAGGAACACCGAUGGCGAAGGCAGGUCUCUGGGCCACUACUGACGCUGAGAAGCGAAAGCAUGGGGGAGCGAACAGG
rnacentral:rRNA from 1 species